AGGCUCUGAGUGCUGGAAGGAACCUGCCCAGACCGUGUAACUUUUGAGGGCUUCUUCAAGCUCUGAACCUCUGUGGGGAAAGGAGAAGGAACUUCUCAGCCCUCUCCAGCCUGUUCUCCUCCCGGUUCGCCAGCAUUUCUAGCCGCUGGAUUUCAUUGCGUUUCAUUGCCACGGCAUACUGUGGGCCAGCAGAGCAGGCAUGAAGGUACCUGGCUGGACCAGAGUCAAGCCACAGGCUGACUGGAUAUAGCCGUUCCCACCUGGAGGAGGAACAUGCUUCGCUUCUGUUUCAUGUAGUCAUUCAAUGUUUCAGGCUCCACAUUCUUUUCUGCAAUAAGACCCAGAAGGACCCCCCCACAACUCAUGAGGCUGGCACAGUUAGAGGAGUCCAGAGCUGGCCAUGACCUAUCAUAUGCUGCAAUGUGACCAAGAUGACCAAGACCUGGAAG